AAUAACUGGCGUAUUGCAGCUCGUGGGCAAAUGCAUAUUUUUAUCUCACAGAUACUACAGCGUCAGUCACAUCAACACACCCUCACCGAUUUCAACGCACACACACACACCCACACAGCCACCAUUGCGAACAGCUGAGAGCGCCGCCGUCGGCAUUCACAAUAACCUAACGGCAAAUGUCAAAACUAACGCUAGCGCUAGUUGUCUCGCUCGCACGCGCCUGAGUGAUUGCUGAGCGACAGCAGCGACGCCAACGACAGAGUCACAGGCUGCCCAUUUGCAUUCGCACGAGAGUUCGAUUAACUGCAGCGUUCGCAGAGUCAGUGAGUGAGUGAAUGAACGAGGCAUGAAAAAGUCAUAUAGAAAAUGGUCGAGUGCGUUGCAGAGCAAAUUAGCUGUGUUUAGUUAUAAUCAAGUUGGUUUUACUGCAUCAAAUAGAUCAGAAUUAACAGUAAAUAAAGUGCAAAUGUGAUUUAAGUGAAAGAAAGGAUAUCUAAUGAAAAGUUAAAAGCAAAAAACGAAUUUGAAAACAAAACAAUUCACGCUUUGGAAUAAACACAUAAAUUAAUAUUGCUGCAAAGCAUUGAGCUUAAAUUUCUACUUUGUAUAUAGUUUAACACGCCGAUUUGGACUUCAAUUUCGACAAAUCGUUGAAGAAAUGCGUUUUUGGAGUGACUCCUGCUUGGUAAGUGAUUGCUGAACAAUAGAAAUAUUUUAAAUUAUUUCCGAGGAAUAAAAUAUGACCAUUGUCAACAAUAGUAUUACGACACGAUGAGACUGAAACCCAGGUACUUGAGUCCACACAAAAAUUGCUAAAAGGGAAACCGAAAAA